CUACGGCCACAUCACGUUUAAGCAUCGGUCCCAGUACGAUCACCGAAGUUAAGCAACGUCGUGCCAAGUCAGUACUUAGACGAGUGACUGCUUAGAAAAAUCAGGUGCUAUA